UUUAAUUGAAAAUAUGGCUCGUAGCAUUUAGGUACUCUGUUUCUAGAGAGAGAAACAUACCAUAUGGGCACUAUGUUUCUAGAGAAGAAAAGCGGUCUUUCGUUGUCUUGGGUUUUCCUCUUUAAUUUGUAGGAGCAUGAAGAUUCAAAGCUUGUGGUUCAAUGCGAGGAGCAAGAAGAUCCCAAAACCCUAAAAACAAUCUGGGUAUAACCUGUGGGAAGAGUUGGUGAUUAGGUUUGCAAGAAGAAUCUAUGAUUUCCUCUGUAAUUUGCAAGAGUCAGAAGCAACAGCAAGGAGACAAUGAGGCGAGUAAAGAUUCAAGUAAAAAAGAUAGAGAACAAAACAAACAUGCAAGUGACCUACCUACUCAAUGAGAAGGAAUGACCUCCUCAAGAAGGCCAAUGAGCUCUCUGUUCUUUGUGACAUUGAUAUUGCUCUCAUCAUAUUCUGCCAAAAUGGAAAGCUCAAUGUUUUCUCUGGGAAAAAUAGGUCACUAAACUAACCCUUUCUUUAUUUUUUUAUUACAUUGAAUAUUUAGUUUCAUCAUGGCUAAAUCUCUUAUCUUUAUCUUUCUUUCAUCAUGACUAAACCUCUAUAUCUCUAUCUUUCUUUCUUUUUUUUCCUUUGUUUAUGUCCUGGGUUGAAGAUAUUUUUUCUCAAUAUAUGAACCUUCCUGUGCAUGUACGAGGGAGAUAAUAGUUUAAUAUUUUAUAGGUUCCACUCGCUUUUUAUUUGUGUCCUCUAUUAAGCUCUCAUGUUUCCUUUUUGUUUUACUCCUAAGUUCAUUUGAUGUGCCAUUUUUGUUUGUUAUGCAACUACAAAAACAAAGAGAAAACUUGACAAAGGCUUCAAGAUGAACAAGUAUCAUAUCUCUCUUGUUUUGUGAUUGUGUGCAUUAAAAUUUGUGGUUUGGUUUACUCUUGAGUCGCAUUGAUAAUAAUGUAGAAACGUAUAUACAGAUGCCAUUAAUUUUAGGGGAAAUGUUUCUUUGGAACCCCACCCACAUAUAUAGUAUAUGUGAUCCCGAUCUCAGCUGUCAAAUCUGAGUAGAUGGCUGAGAUGGCUUGACUUACAAGCUAGCUCUUAACCAUUAGAUCUUGAUCGAAUGACUCAGAGUUUUUUAUUUUAUUUUUAUUCUAUAAAUCAUUUUAAGCCAAAAUUUGGGGCAUGCAUAGAUCUAACAAGGGUGCACAUGGUUAAGAAAAAAAAAAAAUCGGAUUAUAAAAAAUUAGCAGAAUACCCUAAACAUUUCAGGGGUAUUUUAGUCAUUUAUCUUUAUGGAAAAUAUUUAUUUUAAUUUUUUCUAGCUUCGCCCUAAGUUUAUGAUUGGAUGCCCAAAAUUUUAUUUAAAAUGGUUUUGUAAAAAAAAUGAAAAAAAAAAUAGUGUUUGGCGUGACAUUGUGGUAUAGACGUAGCUGUUUGAUUUAGAUCGAAUAACUAAGAAGUGGAGUCCCAUAUAACUUCCCUCUUAUUUUAGUAUAAGGAGGUCACACUUAAUCUUUUCUAUCAAAUUUUAAAUCGGAUGGUUGUAUGUAAUUGACUAGGCUCAAAGCUAAAAGGAAUUUCUCAUACUUUAUGACACACCUCAAGCUAUUCGAUUUGAUAUCUAAGAUCUAGGAGUACUUAUAACAAUGGUAAAUGAUCUUAUAGUACACAGUCUCAAAUGACAUUUGCGCUACGAUCGACUUUGUAAAAUAGCUUGUCCAAGAAGACCUUUGGAAGAAAAGGUCUGAAGAUAAUCUGGCCUCUGAGAUAAGCAGGUGUCUCUCUCUCUCUCCCACUCUCUCUCAUUUGGAAAUGAAGGGCUUCAUUUGUGCUUAUCUCUUUUGAAUGUUUUGUUUUGUUUCUUACUGUUGGAUUCUUUGUGGACUUAGUUGAAUCAUCUCAAACGAUCCUGACCACGUAUUCAGGUAUGCUCACAACUUCUUAUCGAAAAUUAUAGAAUAAGAUUCUUUACUUGUGUUAUAACAACGUCGCAAUUGUUCCUAGUCAUUAGAUGUGAUGUCGGACUAUUAGGAAUGUGCCUUGAGACUUGCUAAAAGUCCAGCAAAAGUGUUCUUAAACUUGUGAUUCAUCUUAAGUUGUAUGAUUUCUAAUUUGAUGGAUAUUCUAGUCUUAUACUAAAAUGGUGCACUCCAAGAGGCCUAGUACAUUUUUAAUUUCUAUUAAAUUUUAUGAAUAUAUUUUGGGAUGUUGUAGGCUUUACUUUUAAAAACUUUCAAUUUAAUAGAAAGUUUAGGUUUUUUUAGUGUUUGGAAUUUUAGAGGCAUUCAACUAGAGUCGUUAUAAAAUUAUUUAUUCUAUCAAGGGUAUAUUUUACUCCGAAGUUCUAAUUAUACUAGAAUAAAGAUAUAUUGAGGGUUAAGGUUUUAACUAUAUUGAGGGUUAAGGUUUUAACUCCGAAGUCCGAAGAAGAUUUAGAAGCAAAGUAAAACAUUGUUUGUUUUGAAAGUCCUGGUUAAAUUAAAGAGCUAAGAAGCUUAGCUUAUUCUGCCAUUGUUAUUUUUAUUCCAAUUUUCGUUUCUUUGAUUUCUUCUUAGAAAUUCUACUAUGUAUUACAAAGCUAAACGGUCUAAUAAUAGACAAUCCCUGUAACACAUAUUUGAUCUUUAAUAUUUGUUUGCAAUCA